UGAUCGGAUCGUAGGUGACCCGGAGGCGCGUUGAAGCUCGGCGAUGAGGCCUGCAACCAAUCGUGGCCGCACGAUUGGGUUGAAGCCUGACAGAGAUGUUUCAUAGCCCUUGAUUUUAAUGAAGACGAUUUUGUGUGUACAUUUUUCUUGGUGUAUAGAGGUGGAAGGCUCUCAGUGGGGGAAGUUUUAUUGGGUGGAUCUAGUAUAAUUUGAAGUGUUCCAUUAUAGUAGAGAUCAGUAAAAUGCUUGUGUGGUAGACUAAUUAAUGAGGAUAGAAAUCAUGUUGGUUUCUGCAUUGGG
rnacentral:lncRNA from 1 species